rnacentral:rRNA from 1 species
UACGUAGGGAGCAAGCGUUAUUCGGAAUUAUUGGGCGUAAAGGGCGCGUAGGCGGCCUUGCAAGUGGCGGGUGAAAUCCCUCGGCUUAACCGAGGAACUGCCUGCCAGACUGCAAGGCUCGAGACCGGGAGAGGUGAGUGGAAUUCCCAGUGUAGCGGUGAAAUGCGCAGAUAUCGGGAGGAACACCAGUGGCGAAGGCGGCACUCUGGGCCGGUACUGACGCUGAGGAGCGAAAGCGUGGGGAGCGAACAGG